GACGAACGCUGGCGGCGUGCUUAACACAUGCAAGUCGAACGGAAAGGCCCUGCUUUUGUGGGGUGCUCGAGUGGCGAACGGGUGAGUAACACGUGAGUAACCUGCCCUUGACUUUGGGAUAACUUCAGGAAACUGGGGCUAAUACCGGAUAGGAGCUCCUGCUGCAUGGUGGGGGUUGGAAAGUUUCGGCGGUUGGGGUUGGACUCGCGGCUUAUCAGCUUGUUGGUGGGUAGUGGCUUACCAAGGCUUUGACGGGUAGCCGGCCUGAGAGGGUGACCGGCCACAUUGGGACUGAGAUACGGCCCAGACUCCUACGGGAGGCAGCAGUGGGGAAUAUUGCACAAUGGGCGGAAGCCUGAUGCAGCAACGCCGCGUGCGGGAUGACGGCCUUCGGGUUGUAAACCGCUUUCGCCUGUGACGAAGCGUGAGUGACGGUAAUGGGUAAAGAAGCACCGGCUAACUACGUG
rnacentral:rRNA from 1 species